rnacentral:rRNA from 1 species
CUCCACUAAGGGUGCACCGUGAAGGUGCCUGAUUUCAUCUGAUCUCAGAAGUUAAGCAGGGUCAGGCUUUGGUUAGUACUUGGAUGGGAGAAAAGUAACUGAUCUCUGAGAUGCACAAAGAAUAUGUGGGUC